CGACGACUUGGAAUACAAGGCAAGAGUCAUGUCGACCACAUUUAUGAUGUUUCUGUGGUGCUCCCCGUCCUUUUUUGAAAGCGUGCACAAGAAGAACCGGAGCCGUGACUGCACUGUUUUCACUGAUUUACUCUGCACACUGCAACAACAACAACAUACAACACGGGAGUGCACUCUAGUGGCCAUCAGAUGAUGGAGAGUAAUAUCCAGCUCAACCUUUUGAAGAUUGAGCACCUUGUAAUCUCUGCCAACCCAUCAGAUGACCACUGCCUACAACACUAAAGUGCAACUUAACCUCUAGAGAUGAUCCAGAAUGAGCAGAAGCUUGGUUUUCCUUCACAACAAUGUAUCAGGUUGUAAUUUUUGUAGAGGUCAUGCAUCAGACUGUACUAUGCACCUG